rnacentral:rRNA from 1 species
UUGAACGCUGGCGGAAUGCUUUACACAUGCAAGUCGAACGGCAGCACGGGGGCAACCCUGGUGGCGAGUGGCGAACGGGUGAGUAAUGUAUUGGAACGUACCCCGUCGUGGGGGAUAACUCUCCGAAAGGAGAGCUAAUACCGCAUACGACCUGAGGGGGAAAGCGGGGGACCUUCGGGCCUCGCGCGAUUGGAGCGGCUGAUGUCGGAUUAGCUGGUUGGUGGGGUAAAGGCCUACCAAGGCGACGAUCCGUAGCUGGUCUGAGAGGAUGAUCAGCCACACUGGGACUGAGACACGGCCCAGACUCCUACGGGAGGCAGCAGUGGGGAAUUUUGGACAAUGGGCGCAAGCCUGAUCCAGCCAUGCCGCGUGAGUGAAGAAGGCCUUCGGGUUGUAAAGCUCUUUCAGACGGAAAGAAAUCGGGCGCGCGAAUAGCGUGCCUGGAUGACGGUACUGUCAGAAGAAGCACCGGCUAACUACGU